rnacentral:rRNA from 1 species
AUGGCAAAAUUCUGGUGGGGGAGUUCCAUUGACAGAAGAUCACUUCAUUGGAUCUCAUGGGACAAGCUUGCAACACCAAAGUGUAAUGGCGGUAUGGGCUUCCGUGAUCUGUGGAUCUUUAACUUGGCAUUGUUAGGAAAGCAUGGAUGGCGCUUCAUGACAAACCCUGAUUCCUUGUGUGCCAGGGUAAUGAAAGGGAGAUAUUUUCCUGACACGGACUUCAUGCAUGCCUCGGUACCGAACUCCUCCUCGGCGACGUGGAGAGCUAUAGUGGCAGGCCGUGAAGCCUUGCAGGCGGGACUGGUGAAGCGGGUCGGCAAUGGGUCCUCUAUAUCUGUAUGGGAGGACAAGUGGAUCCCUUCUACGGUUACAAUGCCAUCGAUGCUACGACCAGCAAAUGCGACAGUCCUUACUGUCGAUGAGUUGAUUGAUACGGAAAGCUGGAGUUGGCGGAGGGAACUAGUAAGAGAAAACUUCAUUGCACCGGAUGUGACAGCAAUUCUGAAUAUUCCGCUACAGCGGGGAGGAGGUGAGGAUUUUCUCGCGUGGGCACAUGAGAAGUCAGGCAACUACUCUGUUAAAUCA